UACGUAGGGGGCAAGCGUUGUCCGGAUUCAUUGGGCGUAAAGAGCGUGUAGGCGGCCAGGUAGGUCGGUUGUGAAAACUGGAGGCUCAACCUUCAGAGGUCGACCGAAACCAUCUGGCUAGAGUCCGGGAGAGGAGAGUGGAAUUCCUGGUGUAGCGGUGAAAUGCGUAGAGAUCGGGAGGAACAUCAGUGGCGAAGGCGACCCUCUGGACCAGCACUGACGCUGAGGCACGAAAGCGUGGGGAGCAAACAGG
rnacentral:rRNA from 1 species